CCUACGGGUGGCAGCAGUGAGGAAUAUUGGUCAAUGGGCGCAAGCCUGAACCAGCCAAGUCGCGUGAGGGAUGACGGUCCUAUGGAUUGUAAACCUCUUUUGUCGGGGAGCAAGGCCCGCCACGUGUGGCGGGAAGGAGAGUACCCGAAGAAAAAGCAGCGGCCAACUCCGUGCCAGCAGCCGCGGUAAUACGGAGGAUGCGAGCGUUAUCCGGAUUUAUGGGGUUGAAAGGGUGCGUAGGCGGAAGGUUAAGUCAGCGGUAAAAAUGCGGUGCUCAACGCCGUACAGCCGUUGAAACUGGCAGUCUUGAGUGGGCGAGAAGUAUGCGGAAUGCGUGGUGUAGCGGUGAAAUGCAUCGCUAUCACGCAGAACUCCGAUUGCGAAGGCAGCAUACCGGCGCCCGACUGACGCUGAGGCACGAAAGCGUGGGUAUCGAACAGGAUUAGAUACCCCUGUAGUC
rnacentral:rRNA from 1 species